rnacentral:RNase_P_RNA from 1 species
CUAGAUCAUUGACUGGUCGCCAGGCUUUCGGUAACGAAAAUCUGGAGGAAAGUCCGGGCAACAUAGGGUAGAGGCAGUUGCUAACGGCAACCAAAGGAAACUUUAGGGAAAGUGCCACAGAAACAAUACCGCCAGGCUUUCGGUAAAACGGAAGUCGGGUAAGGGUGAAAUGAGUAGGGUAAGAGCCUACAGUCUGCUAAGGUGACUUAGUAGAGGGGUAAACCCUGCCUGUUGCAAGGAGUAGGUCUUCGCUACCUAGUAGCUAGUUACCCGCUAAGGCCUGCGAUACUAAAACCGCUUGAUCUCGUGUGCAAAUACGAGGCUAGAUAGAUGAUCAGAUAGAACAGAACCCGGCUUACUAAUGAUCUGGCAUU